rnacentral:rRNA from 1 species
AGAGUUUGAUCCUGGCUCAGGAUGAACGCUAGCGGCAGGCUUAACACAUGCAAGUCGAGGGGUAUAGAGAGCUUGCUUUCUAGAGACCGGCGCACGGGUGCGUAACGCGUAUGCAAUCUACCUUUAUCAGAGGGAUAGCCCAGAGAAAUUUGGAUUAAUACCUCAUAGUAUAGCGACAUCGCAUGAUGAUGCUAUUAAAGUCACAACGGAUAAAGAUGAGCAUGCGUCCCAUUAGCUUGUUGGUAAGGUAACGGCUUACCAAGGCAACGAUGGGUAGGGGUCCUGAGAGGGAGAUCCCCCACACUGGUACUGAGACACGGACCAGACUCCUACGGGAGGCAGCAGUGAGGAAUAUUGGUCAAUGGGCGCAAGCCUGAACCAGCCAUGCCGCGUGCAGGAUGACGGUCCUAUGGAUUGUAAACUGCUUUUGCACAGGAAGAAACACUACCUCGUGAGGUAGCUUGACGGUACUGUGAGAAUAAGGAUCGGCUAACUCCGUGCCGGCAGCCGCGGUAAUACGGAGGAUCCAAGCGUUAUCCGGAAUCAUUGGGUUUAAAGGGUCCGUAGGCGGUUUAAUAAGUCAGUGGUGAAAGCCCAUCGCUCAACGAUGGAACGGCCAUUGAUACUGUUAGACUUGAAUUAUUUGGAAGUAACUAGAAUAUGUAGUGUAGCGGUGAAAUGCUUAGAGAUUACAUGGAAUACCAAUUGCGAAGGCAGGUUACUACGAAUGGAUUGACGCUGAUGGACGAAAGCGUGGGUAGCGAACAGGAUUAGAUACCCUGGUAGUCCACGCCGUAAACGAUGGAUACUAGCUGUUGGAA